rnacentral:lncRNA from 1 species
GCCAGGUUCAGUUCAAUCAAGUUUGAGCGGACAGAAGGUAAGAUAUAGACAUGUCACUGUCAGGAAAUAGAAUAUCCUUGGCGGCUAACAAUUUCCUUGAGGGGCAAGAUUGAACCCCCCCCCCCCCCUAAAAAAAAGAAAAAAUCACCGCAACAAACUUCCAAGAAAAUACAUAUUCUUGAGUGCUAAUUUAGGCCACCAAGAUAAUUUUAUAUUUCCUAGAGCGCUAAUUCGAACUGUCAUAGUAAUUUCUUAUUUUAUUGGGUGCUAUUCGAAACUAUCAAGGUAAUUCAUAUUUAGAGAUACAAAUAUUUAUAUUGUUUUCUAUAAAUUUGGUCAAACAAAAAAUAUUUGACUCAUCAGAAAUCAAGGUGCACAUUUAGUUUAAUUAGGAC